rnacentral:rRNA from 1 species
GCUCUUGAAAUAAUCAAAGGUGUAACCUGCCCAAUGGUUUUAAAUUUAAUAAAUCUCAUAGAUUUUUAAUAAAACUUAAAGGACGCAGUAUCUUGACUGUGGUAAUGUAGCAUAAUCACUCGCCACUUAAUUGGUGGAUAGUAUGAAUGGUUAAACGAAUAUUACACUGUCUCCCCUGAAAAAUUCAUGAAAUUGAAAUAGUAGUUAAGAUGCUACUUAAAACUGUAAGACGAAAAGACCCUAUAGAGCUUAACUAUGGCUUACAUUAAAUAAAAGAAGAAAAAACUCUUCAAAAUAUGUAGGUAGGUAGUUUAGUUGGGGCGACUAUCUUCUAAAAACAACGAAGAUAAGCAAAGUUAAUAAAUAACUUAUUGUAUAAAAAAUUAAUUUAACAAUUAUAAAAAUAGGCUAUAAUGACCCAUUAUUAUUAAAUAGAAAAAAUAAUGAUCAAUAAAUAAAAGCUACCUUAGGGAUAACAGGAUAAUUUUGUUCUAGAGAUCAAAUCGAAAACAAAGUUUGUCACCUCUAUGUUGAAUUAAGAUAUCCUAGUAGUGCAGAAGUUACUGAGGGUAGGUCUGUUCGACCUCUAAGAUCU